rnacentral:rRNA from 1 species
GACGAACGCUGGCGGCGUGCUUAACACAUGCAAGUCGAACGGUGACGAUCAAGCUUGCUUGGUCUGAUCAGUGGCGAACGGGUGAGUAACACGUGAGCAACCUGCCCCAGACUCUGGGAUAACCCCGGGAAACCGGAGCUAAUACCGGAUAUGACACUCGCACGCAUGUGCUGGGUGUGGAAAGUUUUUCGGUCUGGGAUGGGCUCGCGGCCUAUCAGCUUGUUGGUGAGGUAGUGGCUCACCAAGGCGACGACGGGUAGCCGGCCUGAGAGGGCGACCGGCCACACUGGGACUGAGACACGGCCCAGACUCCUACGGGAGGCAGCAGUGGGGAAUAUUGCACAAUGGGCGAAAGCCUGAUGCAGCGACGCCGCGUGAGGGAUGACGGCCUUCGGGUUGUAAACCUCUUUCAGCAGGGAAGAAGCGCAAGUGACGGUACCUGCAGAAGAAGCACCGGCUAACUACGUGCCAGCCGCCGCAGUAAGAC